rnacentral:rRNA from 1 species
GAUGAACGCUGACAGAAUGCUUAACACAUGCAAGUCGAUGGGGAAGUGGUGCUUGCACCAUGGCAACCAUGGCGGACGGGUGAGUAACGCGUAAGGGACUUACCUGCAGGACUGGGAUAACAGGGGGAAACUCCUGACAAGACCGGAUAAUGUCAUGGAGCUGCAUGGCUUUAUGAUGAAAGGAGACGCCUGCGGAGAGCCUUGCGUCCUAUUAGCUAGUUGGUGAGGUAAUGGCUCACCAAGGCGAAGAUAGGUAGCCGGCCUGAGAGGGUGGACGGCCACAAGGGGACUGAGAUACGGCCCUUACUCCUACGGGAGGAGGCAGUGGGGAAUAUUGGACAAUGGGGGCAACCCUGAUCCAGCAAUUCUGUGUGCACGAAGAAGGUUUUCGGAUUGUAAAGUGCUUUCAGCAGGGAAGAAGUAAGUGACGGUACCUGCAGAAGAAGCGACGGCUAAAUACGUG